rnacentral:tRNA from 1 species
GCCCGGGUGGUGAAAUUGGCAGACACGCCAGACUUAGGAUCUGGUGCCGUAAGGCGUGCGGGUUCGACUCCCUCCCCGGGCA